rnacentral:rRNA from 1 species
CCCGCCAGCAACCCCCCCCA